rnacentral:rRNA from 1 species
GACGGAGGGUGCUAGCGUUGUUCGGAAUUACUGGGCGUAAAGCGUGCGCAGGCGGUUUGCUAAGACAGGUGUGAAAUCCCCGGGCUUAACCUGGGAACUGCGCUUGUAACUGGCAAGCUGGAGUGUGGCAGGAGGGGGGGUGGAAUUCCGACGUGUAGCAGUGAAAUGCGUAGAGAUGUGGAGGAACACCGAUGGCGAAGGCAGCCCCCCUGGGCUAACACUGACGCUCAUGCACGAAAGCGUGGGGAGCAAACAGG